rnacentral:sRNA from 1 species
ACAUAUCAAAACACUCAAGAUCAGUGAUCUGAGAAAAGAGGAUACUAGACAGGUGGACGAAUUGGUGAAAGUGGCAGGAUGGGAGACCAGCCCAUCAGCAGAUGAAAGUGUCGCACACUUGCUAUCUCAAUUGAGCAACCUUAAGUCAUUUUGCCUUAACCGCCUUUGUGGUGAGGUGCAUCUAACCACCUUUAACUUUGCCACGCUGCCAACCCUGACCAGACUCAAAGUGCCGGCGGAAUCCCUAGUAUCGCGUCCAUCACCUCUAAUCCAUCAUCUGCCUCCCACAUUGGAAUGUCUUUAUGUGAAAGAGGCGAACGAUGAAGUGAAUGAAGACACCUUGCCUCAAUUGCUGAUAGACUAUAUCACCGCAGCUUCAUCAAGGUUAAAGCUGGUAUCCAUUCAAUCAUAUGCUGAAUAUUGGAA